rnacentral:rRNA from 1 species
AUUGAACGCUGGCGGCAGGCCUAACACAUGCAAGUCGAACGAGUGGCGGACGGGUGAGUAAUGUCUGGGAAACUGCCUGAUGGAGGGGGAUAACUACUGGAAACGGUAGCUAAUACCGCAUACCAUCAGAUGUUCCAAUAUGGGAUUAGCUUGUUGGUGGGGUAACGGCGCACCAAGGAGACGAUCCCUAGCUGGUCUGAGAGGAUGACCAGCCACACUGGCACUGCGGCACGGCCCAGACUCCUACGGGAGGCAGCAGUGGGGAAGAUUGCACAAUGGGCGCAAGCCGGAUGCAGCCAUGCCGCGUGUAUGAAGAAGGCCUUAGGGUUGUAAAGUACUUUCAGCGGGGAGGCGUUACCCGCAGAAGAAGCACCGGCUAACUCCGUGCCAGCAGCCGCGGUAAUAC